rnacentral:rRNA from 1 species
AUUGAACGCUGGCGGCAUGCUUUACACAUGCAAGUCGAACGGUAACAGGCCUUCGGGCGCUGACGAGUGGCGAACGGGUGAGUAAUGCAUCGGAACGUGCCCAGUCGUGGGGGAUAACGCAGCGAAAGCUGUGCUAAUACCGCAUACGAUCUGUGGAUGAAAGCGGGGGACCUUCGGGCCUCGCGCGAUUGGAGCGGCCGAUGUCAGAUUAGGUAGUUGGUGGGGUAAAGGCUCACCAAGCCAACGAUCUGUAGCUGGUCUGAGAGGACGACCAGCCACACUGGGACUGAGACACGGCCCAGACUCCUACGGGAGGCAGCAGUGGUGAAUUUUGGACAAUGGGCGCAAGCCUGAUCCAGCAAUGCCGCGUGCAGGAUGAAGGCCUUCGGGUUGUAAACUGCUUUUGUACGGAACGAAAAGCCCUGGGUUAAUACCCUGGGGUCAUGACGGUACCGUAAGAAUAAGCACCGGCUAACUACGUGCCAGCCGCCGCAGUAAUAC